CAUCAUUUUACCUACUCACUAUUGAACUUAUAUCUCUCAGCAACACUCUGUGUGGAAGUUUUCAAUCAACCAAACAAAAAGAGAUUUGUGCAUCGAACAAAUAAUACUCUACAGAUGGUACAUACUUUUGAAGUUUAUAAUAUUUUGGAAGGAAAUUUGAUUGGGAAUACAACGAAGUGAUUUUUGCUUUGUGUAAUU